AGAAACUUUCAGAAGUGCCUAAUGAUUUGAGAUACCUUAAUUCUAAGUCUUCAACUUAAGACUACCUGAAGAGAUUGGAAAAGCAGAGCACCCACCCACCCUCUGGAAAUCAGCUUUCUGAAGCACAGUACACAUAGUCACUAGUCACCUCAGAAAAUCUACACCAACAUUUGUUUAUUGCUUUUUGCAAUCAAGAUCACUGACUUCUUCAGUGGAAGGAGGUGACCUCUGAGGAGAAGGUCUCCUGGAGGGCUCGCCUGACAGUUACAUACUUGAUGUUUCUUCCGCUCUUCCUGUGCCAAUAUUCUGAAUGGCUGCUGCUUAGUCAGAAUGACAGACGAAGUCGGGUGAAUCAGUAUGCUGUAUACCAUGUCAUUUCUCUUAACGAGCACCAAGAUAUCUUUAAAAGCACUUUACAGAAACUGUCAGAAACCUGAGCGCCCCCAUUGGCAGAUGUGGGGUGGCUGGCGGCAUUCCAUAUGUGUUGGCAGUGCCAAGCCUAAAGUGGUUUGACCUAGUGUGAAAUGUCUCACUCUCGCAGAGAUCUGGCCUUCCUUCAGGUGCUCAUAAUAGUCCGUGGUGGUGUUGCAUCAUCUUUGGCCACAUCACCAGGAUGGAAAACACUGCAACACAUCAUGCUCUCAAAUGCUCCAUCGACAUGAGACGGGGUGCACGUCCUGCCCCCUACCUGGCGG